rnacentral:rRNA from 1 species
UAGGGAAUCUUCGGCAAUGGGGGCAACCCUGACCGAGCCACGCCGCGUGAGUGAAGAAGGUUUUCGGAUCGUAAAGCUCUGUUGUAAUAGAAGAACGUGUGUGAGAGUGGAAAGUUCACACAGUGACGGUAACUUACCAGAAAGGGACGGCUAACUACGUGCCAGCAGCCGCGGUAAUACGUAGGUCCCGAGCGUUGUCCGGAUUUAUUGGGCGUAAAGCGAGCGCAGGCGGUUUAAUAAGUCUGAAGUUAAAGGCAGUGGCUUAACCAUUGUUCGCUUUGGAAACUGUUAAACUUGAGUGCAGAAGGGGAGAGUGGAAUUCCAUGUGUAGCGGUGAAAUGCGUAGAUAUAUGGAGGAACACCGGUGGCGAAAGCGGCUCUCUGGUCUGUAACUGACGCUGAGGCUCGAAAGCGUGGGGAGCAAACAGG